GGGGGGUGGGGGAGGGGGGAUCCAGUCCAGGUGUGCGGGGGAGGGGCCCAGGGGGGGUCCCAGUGAUGGGGGAGGGGCCCAGGUGGGCUCCAGGUGUCCAAGGAUGGUCCCAGGUGAGUCCCAGGAGCGGUUCCAGGUCUGCAGGUGGGUCCCAGGUGGGUCCCAGGUGGGUCCCAGGUAUCUGAGGAGGGUCCUGGGUGGGUCCAGGUGGGUCCCAGCGAUGGGGGGAGGGGCCCAGGUGAGCUCCAGGUGUCCAAGGAGGGUCCCAGGUGUCCCAGGGGGGUCCCAGGUGUUCCAGGUGAGCUCCAGGUGAGCUCCAGGUGUCCCAGGGGGGUCCUGAGUGGGUCCCAGGUGAGUCCCAGCAAUGGGGGAGGGGCCCAGGUGAGCUCCAGGUGUUCAGGGAGGGUUCCAGGUGUUCCAGGUGAGCUCCAGGUGAGCUCCAGGUGUCCAAGGAGGGUCCCAGGUGUCCCAGAGGGGUCUCAGGUGAGCUCCAGGUGAGCUCCAGGUGUCCAGGGAGGGUUCCAGGGGGGUCCCAGGUGAGCUCCAGGUGAGCUCCAGGUGUUCCAGGUGAGCUCCAGGUGAGCUCCAGGUGUUCAGGGAGGGUCCCAGGGGGGUCCCAGGGGGUCUCAGGUGAGCUCCAGGUGAGCUCCAGGUGUC